GACGAACGCUGGCGGCGUGCUUAACACAUGCAAGUCGAACGGUAAGGCCCUUUCGAGGGUACACGAGUGGCGAACGGGUGAGUAACACGUGGGUAAUCUGCCCUGCACUUCGGGAUAAGCUUGGGAAACUGGGUCUAAUACCGGAUAUGAGUCCCGGCCGCAUGGUCUGGGGUUGGAAAGUUUUUCGGUGCAGGAUGAGCCCGCGGCCUAUCAGCUUGUUGGUGGGGUAAUGGCCUACCAAGGCGACGACGGGUAGCCGGCCUGAGAGGGUGGUCGGCCACACUGGGACUGAGACACGGCCCAGACUCCUACGGGAGGCAGCAGUGGGGAAUAUUGCACAAUGGGCGGAAGCCUGAUGCAGCGACGCCGCGUGGGGGAUGACGGUCUUCGGAUUGUAAACCCCUUUCAGUAGGGACGAAGCGCAAGUGACGGUACCUGCAGAAGAAGCACCGGCCAACUACGUGCCAGCCGCCGCCGUAAGAC
rnacentral:rRNA from 1 species